AUUGAACGCUGGCGGCAUGCCUUACACAUGCAAGUCGAACGGCAGCAUGAUCUAGCUUGCUAGAUUGAUGGCGAGUGGCGCACGGGUUAGUAAUACAUCGGAACGUGCCCUGUAGUGGGGGAUAACUAGUCGAAAGAUUAGCUAAUACCGCAUACGACCUGAGGGUGAAAGUGGGGGACCGCAAGGCCUCAUGCUAUAGGAGCGGCCGAUGUCUGAUUAGCUAGUUGGUGGGGUAAAGGCCCACCAAGGCGACGAUCAGUAGCUGGUCUGAGAGGACGAUCAGCCACACUGGGACUGAGACACGGCCCAGACUCCUACGGGAGGCAGCAGUGGGGAAUUUUGGACAAAGGGGGCAACCCUGAUCCAGCAAUGCCGCGUGUGUGAAGAAGGCCUUCGGGUUGUAAAGCACUUUUGUCCGGAAAGAAAUCGCACUUACUAAUAUUAGGUGUGGAUGACGGUACCGGAAGAAUAAGGACCGGCUAACUACGUG
rnacentral:rRNA from 1 species